rnacentral:lncRNA from 1 species
AAGAAGCCAAGAUGGGAAGUCUCUCACGACCCUGUGGCUUGGCCAGGAGAAAGCCUGAACUUGAUACAGCUGCCUUGCCUGGGGCCUGCCCACAGAAAGUAGUGAGCUCAGCCCAGGUGUCCAAUCAUUUGGGAUUUGUGACCUGGUACCUUGGGUCUCCACUUCACAAAGGGGAAUCAGACAGGAAUGAGGAGGAACUACAGAAUCACAGCAGACACCAGCACAGCAAGGCCAAGCCAAAGCAAUGAGCCAAGUUUGAAGGACAAGUGACCAGUUUUGUUCUGGCAGGCUCAACAACACUGGGAAAAAAUUACAGUGUGUGCAUGGGAAACAGAUUCCUCCUUCCUCGACUAACUGACACACAGGAGAGCGGGCACAGCGAAGGGCAAUGGCGCUGCGGCUGAUAGAGCUGGAUACAUGGAAAAAUUUAAAUAGCAUCAAGGGCCUGGCCUACCCUGAAUCCAGGCAGGAAAUUCAAGGGUAAUAUAACACUUCGCUGUUAAGUAAUGCCACUGGAAUAAAAGCAUGUUCAGG